rnacentral:lncRNA from 1 species
GGGUUUAGGGUUUAUCUUUGGAUUAGGAUUUAGUGAUUUAAGUUUAGGGUUUAGUAUUUAGAAAGUGAGGGAGUAUGGUUUUGGGUCGGCAUUAACUUCUUCCUUGCAAUCAUAUAUAUUUCAUAAUCUCACCAAUAGGUACUAUGUUAUUUAUUUUAUUUCAUUCUAUUUGGGUUUAUGAUUUAUAUUUAGGUUUAGGGUUUAUAUUUUGGUAAGGGUUUAGUGAUUUGAGUUUAGGGUUUAGUAUUUAGAAGGUGGAGAAGUAUGGUUAUGGUCGACGUUAACUUCUUCCAUGCAAUCAUAGACAUUUCAUAAUUUCACCAAUAUGUACUAUGUUAUUUAUUUUGUUCCAUUCUAUCUAGGUUUUGGGUUUAUAUUUGAGUUUAUGGUUUAUAUUUGUUUUUAGGGUUUACUAAUUAGAUUUUAGGGUUUAGUAUUUAGGGGUUGGGUGAGAUUGAGAUAAUGUUUAGUAUCUAGGAAUUGUGGUUGGGAUAUGUUUAGUAUUUAGGGAUUAUAAGUAGAGUUAUAAUCCUAUACUACUUAGGUGAUAUGGAACAGAACACUCGUGCAUAUGUAUGUAAGAUAUACGUGGAUGGUUCUUCUUUCAUUUUUUAAAAUAGUUUUCAGGUGCUCUUGACCUUUUAUUUGGAAUAGUUUAAAUUGUAUUAAGGUCUACAUUUCCAUGUAUGAUUUAGUUCUUAUUUGAUAGGAUUCAAUUUAUUUCGUGAUAUAUACUAUUUUACCAUAUAGAAUAGUAAUUCAGGUAAUUUCUUUGUCUGUUAAGUUAACAGAAGUUGUGUAACGCGUACAAUUAUUAUCCACUCAUGUCGCAUCAUUCUCUUACAUUAUAGGCGUUAAUUAUGUACCACAAAAGACAACCACAUCGUUUACUUUAGAAAUUGUAAC